rnacentral:rRNA from 1 species
UACGUAGGGUGCAAGCGUUAAUCGGAAUUACUGGGCGUAAAGCGUGCGCAGGCGGUGAUGUAAGCCAGUUGUGAAAUCCCCGGGCUCAACCUGGGAACUGCAUCUGUGACUGCAUUGCUGGAGUGCGGCAGAGGGGGAUGGAAUUCCGCGUGUAGCAGUGAAAUGCGUAGGUAUGCGGAGGAACACCGAUGGCGAAGGCAAUCCCCUGGGCCUGCACUGACGCUCAUGCACGAAAGCGUGGGGAGCAAACAGG